AAGCCCGAAGGCGCAAUGAAAGUGAACCUUGGGCGGGAUCCCGUCACCCUUUUCCUUUUUAAAUCUUAUGAAACACGGGGGGAAAAGGUUGUGCGGGCGCACCGCCGGCCCGUCUCGUUCGGUCGGCUCGAUCUCUCUCACCGGGGAUCGGUCGACGGAGGCGGAGCGAGAGCGUAUACGUUAGGACCCGAAAGACGGUGAACUAUUCCCGGACAGGACGAAGCCGGAGGAAACUCCGGUGGAGGUCCGCAGCGAUUCUGACGUGCAAAUCGAUCGUCGGAUCCGGGUAUAGGGGCGAAAGACUAAUCGAACCGUCUA
rnacentral:rRNA from 1 species